GCCACGCACCCCUCUGGGGGUCUCCGCGGCCCCCGGGGCGCCCACCCCGCCCCCUCCGGGCUCCACGGCGGUGGGCAGCGGGAGGACGGCCCGGGAGGGCUCCCAGACGCACAGGCCCGGGGCCGCCCGCCACCCCCUCGCCUCACCCCCAGGCCCUCUCCGCUAAUCGGGAGCCCCGCGCUCAAUGAUGGGGGCCAGGCAGGAGGUGGGCCAGCCCAAACCAGCCCUGGCGAGGUGCUCAGGCUCUGUGUCAAAAAACAAAACAAAACAAAAAAACAAAACAAAAAAAGGAGCUGAGUGCGGUGGCGCACGCCUGUGAUCCCAGCACUCGGGAGGCAGAGGCAGGCGGAUCUCUGUGAGUUCCAAGCCAGCCUGGGCUACAAAGCGAGUCCAGGACAGCCAGGGCCGCACAGAAAAAUAAUUAGAGAAGAGAGAGCACGCGCUGGGGCUGCGGUCAGGUUGGAGUCUUAAUUUCCCAGGUGCGGCGGCCGCACCAGGUCUUUCUAAUCCGAUCAUUUAGUCCUGCAAACGCUUUCUUGAACCUACCUUUAUAGGCGGGGAAACUGAGGCUCAACGGUGGUGACUUCAGGGCAGCCUGGGCUACACAGAGAGAGCCUUCUGCAAACCGCAGAACGAGCUGGGGUGCGGCGGGAGCGGGGGUUGGGAUCACAGCCGGGUCACGCGUUAGCGCCAAGGUCAGCUAGAUUUGGGUCUGCACAGCAGGGCAUGGGUGCCACUCACUGUCCGGCUGGCACACGCCUGCCAUCCUUUACCGCCCCAGGGAGGCUGAGGCAGGACUGCCUUAGGGGUUCAAAGCCAGCCUGGGCUACAGAGAGAGAUUCAGGUUCGCUCUGUCUUCAUUUCUGAUUCUAGAGUGAAGGAACAGAAGCACAGAGAGGGUGGGAGAUGGUUCGAGAGUCACCCAGCACAGAACUGCUGAGCUUGGGGCUUGAACUCGGGGUUUGUCAACUCUGAGCUGUAGUGGGUGUGGCCUCGCUGCGGGAGCACCCCACAGCCAUGCUCCCACCCUCUCGUUGACUCUGUUUGGGGGACAAGUUCUGAUCAUAUAGUCCAGGCUGGCCCACACUCUGUGUAGCCGAGGCUGACCUUCUGUUACAGAGCCUUCUGCUUGAGUCUGGAGAGUCGGGCGUGGGCCACGGCGUGGACACGUGUGUUUGAGGAGUGAAUGUCACGGGUGGGCGCUUGAGCGGUCACCGCCCACGUCCCCCCUCUCCCCAUCUACGGCUUCUCAGCCUCAGAGGACCCGAAGUUCUGGGCGCGGGGUGGUGGCGGAGGGGUCCUCAGGGCCUGGGCUGGUGUCUUCACACCCAUUUCACAGACCAGGAAACGAGGCCCUGGGAGCAGCCUUCCACGUGGCUGCGAGGAGAGGCCAGGCCCGCGGUGACGCACCAGUCACCCCUGCCGGGGGCCUGGGGUAGGUAGUUGAGGAUCAUCCUUGGAUCAUAGCUGGAGGUCAGCCUGGGCUACGUGAGCCCCGGGUUCAAAAGCAAAGAGGUGAGUAUGGAUAUGAACCAGGCGGAGUCUGUCUGUCUGUCUGUCUGUCUGUCCGUCCGGGGCGGGCCUGGGCCUCACAAGUGCGCGGAAGGCCAGCCCCGCCCAUAGCCUGUCACCUGGGGGCGGGACCUGGCCCGUCGGGAUGGUCUAUUGGCUGGAGGUCUUCUAGCCUGGCUUCUGAUUAGCCAGGCUGCAGGUCCGCGGCGUCUGAUUGGCCGCUGCUGUCGGCUGCCCCUGACGCCGCCGAUUCCAUCUUUAUUCCUGGCGCUGCCCUCACCCGGAGCUGGCUCACCGCUGCUGCCUCUGGGCCUGGCUGAGCGGGAGCCCGGGCGGGCUCAGUGCUCUGCGCUAAGAGGGGCGAUCGAUCAGUGCGCCCACUCCCCCAGCAACGCUGCCUUCCUUUCUCAGGUAGGGAAACUGAGGCCGGCUGCACACCCGCGCGGCCGCCUGUGGCAGGCAGAUCACGCUGGUUCGCACAUGGGAUACUGGGUAGACCCACGCCCACCGGCGACCAGGAGGCCAGGCCUCCUUGACCUCCUUUGUGAGAUCUCCCCCUUUCCAAACAUCUGGGAAAGGGGGAGAGGCAAAACCGACUCGAGGAGGACAGCGAGUAGGACUUCCAGCUUCGGGUGUCUGAAGCAGGAGAGGAACUGAGACUGCCUCCUCUCUGCAGCUUUCUCCCCAUCUCAGGGACAGCAGCUGAGGCCCAGCGCGGCUUCCCGGCACCGCUGCCCGGCGGGCCUGGCACGCACUGCUGGGCGUGGGCACCGAGCUGCCUGGAACCCGAGAGCUGCCCGCACAUGCCAGGGACCCGCGGCGCUCAGCACUGCGAGGAGCUCGGUGUCUCGCCCCGAAGAGGGAAACUGAGGCAGACAGAUGCCACGGGGCCGUCGCUCCUCUGGCCUCCGCCCCUGGAGCUCUGCCACCUGAAGGCCACGCUCUGUGCCUCGGUAUCCCCGUGUGUAGGUGUGCCUGUCCGGCCAUCUGAUGGGCCUGGAGGAUGACGCAGAGGCCCUGGGCACGGCCCAUGCUCUGGCCCAUGUUCCGUGCAGGACACUCGCCUAGGGGGUCCACACUGAGGGGAAGACAGACCAGGUGCGCGCACCGGCGUGAGCCACAAUGACAGGAAAUCCGGGGCUGCCCCGCAGGCCGGAAGCUGGCACUCCGGUUUCCGACACUUGCUGUGGCGAAGGCGAUGGUGGGAGCUUGAAGCUCCUGCGGGAACUGAGGAUGGUCACAGUGACGUUAAGGCCGCUCCUCUGGGGACUACCCUGCACCAGACGCAGGGGUGAGGGGCAGAUGACACCCCAUGCUGGACACCCCAAGGCCCAGCUCUGCCAGUGAGUGGCUCUGGGGCAGCCCUUGAACUCCCAAUCUUCCUGUCCCGCAGCUGGGCUGACCAGCCUGGUGUCACUGGGUCCUGUCCAUCUCCCGCGGAGCGCGGCUGUGAAGCAGUGAACAUCAAGUCCCUCUUCCGGAACUCUGCGGGAGGAGGGGCGCCCUUUGUGCGACAGUCCCGCGCUUCAUGUCGCUCCCUAUCCUGGUGCGGGUCCUACCACGGGGCAGCUUUUUAGGCCUUUGGGUGGGCCCCCUCCGGGGUGCCGUGUGUCACGCCUGCCUGAGGCUCCCCUCCUCCCAGGCGCCCUACCGUGGGGUGCGGACCAGCGUUCACUCGUCCCGGGGGCGGGCGAAUUCUUACCGUGGCUUUUCCAUUGGCCUUGUUUGGACAAGCCUGGCAUUUGCCACUGAAUUGCACGCCUGGCGCAUAGGUGGCCUCAGCUGAUUGAUCACCAGGGACGCAGCUGAUACCGGGUAAUCACACUUCGUGGAUGCUAGACUCAGGACUAUCAAACAUGCUUCCUCUUUGGGGGGGAAACUGAGGCUCAGAUGGCGUCCGAGGCGGCCAGUGCCGGAACAAAGGAGUGGCCAGAGCACCGAGGGUGGCCCGAAGCUCGGUGCCCUCUAGGGGCCUUUAACAAGGUGAUUAAAGGGCCGAACCAACAAGGGCAGGGGUGGGUUUCUGCACCGCACAGAGCUUGUCCCAGAGGCUGAGUAGCUUGGGGUUUCCUAGGCAGCGGGAGGGGGCGGCGCACUGGCCUUUCCUCGGCCCGCCCUCCCCAGCCUGCCCUUCCCCAGCCCGCCCUCCCCAGCCCACCCUCCCCCAGCCUGCCCUGGACACUUGUGCAGAAGGCCGCGUCCAGCUGGCCAGGUGCCAGGGCGGAAGGCUGGGCACGGGGGCACGGCGCUCAGGGAACUGCUUCCCCUGGCCCGGAGCUCGCAGGGCCUGCCGGGCCACAGAAGCCUGCGGUCCCGGGAACUGGACUGGCCAGGGCUGCUGUGCGGGUGGUGAGUCCAGAGCCUGGCGUGAGGUAGGCUCCAAGCGGUUGGCACUAACAUAGCACAAGCCAGGAUCGUGGCUGGGGGUUAGGGACACGAUUCUUAGCGAAUUCAGCCGCUGCGGGGACAGGCACCCACCCAGGAACCCGUCCUGUUUGAAUGAGGCUUCGUUGCAGGAAGGGGUGGGGCGGUGGGGCGGGCGUCAAGGGUCCCCAGUGUGGACUCCAGCAGCGAAGGCUGGCGGCUCUGUCUGAGACCACAGUGCCCGGGGUGUUGGUCACGCACUUCUCUCCUUGUUGCUGCCAAGCGGUACCCCGUGUGUGCGCUGGCAAAGGACAGUGACGGCGCAGCGAACCCUUCCCGGGGCGGUGGGAUCAUGACCAGUGAGAUCUGAUGAACAGAAACCGAGGUUCACCAGAGGAGAGCGAAUCCCGCUCCCAGAUCCUGGACACCCCCUUGAUCAAUAAAGUUUUAUUGGUAAGUGGCCACA